rnacentral:tRNA from 4 species
GGAAAAUCCGUCGACUUUAGAAAUCGUGAGGGUUCAAGUCCCUCUAUCCCCAAACAAAAAGG